rnacentral:rRNA from 1 species
GGUUAAGCGACUAAGCGUACACGGUGGAUGCCCUGGCAGUCAGAGGCGAUGAAGGACGUGCUAAUCUGCGAUAAGCGUCGGUAAGGUGAUAUGAACCGUUAUAACCGGCGAUUUCCGAAUGGGGAAACCCAGUGUGUUUCGACACACUAUCAUUAACUGAAUCCAUAGGUUAAUGAGGCGAACCGGGGGAACUGAAACAUCUAAGUACCCCGAGGAAAAGAAAUCAACCGAGAUUCCCCCAGUAGCGGCGAGCGAACGGGGAGCAGCCCAGAGCCUGAAUCAGUGUGUGUGUUAGUGGAAGCGUCUGGAAAGGCGCGCGAUACAGGGUGACAGCCCCGUACACAAAAAUGCACAUGCUGUGA